AGUUUUGAGUAGCUGAGGAUGAUUUUGAUUAAUUUUGAAAAUAUUUAAACAAUUCAUUUUCUUCUUCUAAAAUUGAUAGUCCAUAUAUUGUAGAAAAAUUGUUGGAUUCAUAUACAUAUUUGAGAAAAAACUAGUUUAACUAUAAUAAGCACUAUUAAUUACUUUUACCCCAAAAUUCAGGUAAUUUAAAUCAUAUAAAUUCUCAUGAUAUAGUAUCAAAUGAAAACUAAAGCUAACCCAUGAAAGAAAUCUACAUAAAUAAAGUUACUUCAUCUCUUUAGAGUGUGAUAUGUCAUAUUCCUCAAACAUUGUUGUGAUGCCACAUCAGUUUGGUUUGAUUGAUUUUUAUUAGAAUGUUGUGUCUUUCAUGUUAUCUUAGUCAAUAGACUUGACUCAUAAAACCUCUUUAAUUACUCGAGGUCCAUAACCAAGAUAACAGAACUAUAAUCCACUAUAAUAUGUCACUCACACUUCAACGUUUUAGCGACAUCCUCAAUUACGCGCAAACAUACACAGCCAUCAUGUCACUGGAAUUAAAAUGUAAUUUUGAUUUAGAAAUUUAUGGGUUAUUAUAUGUUUUCUUAAUAGCUUUGGUUUAAAUAAUAACAAGAUGAGAAUUUUAUAAAAUUAUUAUAUAUGUUUAAAAAAUUAUGCUUAGCGUGUCAAGUUGUUAGGAAACUUUUGAUAAGGUUGCAACAUAAGAAAAAUGAAAUCUUAAUAUAUAUAUAUAUAUAUAUAUAUACAUAUGAUAAUAUUAAUAUUAUAUAAUUUUGUUAUGUCUGCUUCAUAAAAAAAUUUCAUACAUAGAAGAAUAUCUUAUUCUUUAUUUUUAACUUUUCUUAUACAGAAAUAUUUAAUAUGACUUAAACUAAUAUAUAUAUUUAAGAAACAAAUCUAAAAAUAACUUACCAUUUAUUAUUGGAUAAGUUUGAAAAUGAUAUAGUGGGCUAGCUUUGUUUUAGUAUAUAAGAUACACUAAUGAUUGAAACUUCUUUCUUCCCAUCUAACUUCAGUCAAAUAAUUUGUAAGGCAUUCUUAUGGCUCAUCGAAGAGAUCCACACAACAUAAGCUAUUUCACAAAUCAAUGUAUCCUUUGCAAGAAAAUGAUAGAUCCAAAUAAAUCAGAUAUCUACAUGUACAAUGACGCUCCUUAUUGUACCGAAGAAUGUCGAGAAAAACAAUUGAAAGCCGAUGGAAUAAAUAUCAAGGAUGAUGGAAAAACCGGUAAAGAUAAGAAAAAAAAGACCGGUGCAAAAAAAUAAAAAAUGAAAGAAGAAAGCUGAAAGUGGAUGUAUGAAAAUGUUGGCAUAAUUUCAUAUCGUUCUCUUUAUUAUUAUUAUUAUUAUUAUUAUUAUUAUUAUUAUUAUUAUUAUUAUUAUUAUUAUUAUUAUUAUUAUUAUUAUUAUUAUUAUUAUUGUUGUUGUUGUUGUUAUUAUUAUUAAUAUCCAAUAAAUAGAGAUGAUAUUAUCUUUUUAUAUUUUAAUAAUUAAGAAUUUCCAUUUCAAAAAGCUAAAACAUGUUGUAUAAUUAUCCUCGUGUAUAUAUUAUAAUAAUCUAAGUUCUGUUUUAAUUCAUGUGCAUCCGAUUUCUAUUUAGAAAAAAGAAACUAAUAAAAUGUAUAUGUUUCUUUCUUUUUAUCAAUUUUUUUAAUAAAAAUCUCUAAGUUGAUCUAAUACACAUUUAAUGAUUUAAUACAUUAAACAGCUACAAUUUGGGGUAGUAUGAAUUUUCCCAUAACAUAAGUAAUUUGAUGAACUAGUCUAGUCUAGGUUUAUUUUCAAAUAUAUAAUCGAAUGAUAGCAGAUAAUUUAAGUCUAUUAACAGAUAAAACAGAUGACUAAAUAUGAAAUAUGGAUUAAGUUAACGCAUAUAUAUAGUGUACUCUUUAGAUAUGGCUAUCAAUAUAUUUUAAAUUACUACAUGAACGAUCACUAAAUUAAUUUUAACAAAGAGCACUCUCACUAUAUUGUGUAGUGGUAUGUUGAUUCAUGUAUUUGGAUUGUUACAGAUGUUAUACAUAGUUUUGAGUAGAUGAAGAUGAUUUGCGAAUUUCAUUUGUUCAUUCUUUAAAACAUUCAUAGCAUAGAGGCAUUUGAUGUAACACAAGAUUUAAUUGAAUAAGUUUUACAUUCAUUCAAAAAAAAAUAUAAUGAUUUUGACUAAGUUUGAAAAUAUUUGAAUAAUUCAUUUUAUUUUUCUAAAAUUGAUUUUCCAGAUAUUGUAGAAAAUUGUUGGGUUCAAAUACAUAUUUGCCAAAACAAAUUAGUUUAACCAGAAUAAGUAUUUUUAAUUAAUUUUAUCUAAAAAUUGAGGUAACUUGAAUCAUAUAAAUUCAAAUGAUAUAGUGUCAAAAAUGAAAAUUAAUGCCAACUCAUGAAAGAAAUCUAUAGAGAAAAAGUCAAUCCAGCUCUUUAGAGUGUGAUGCCUUAUAUUCCUCAAGCAUUGUAGUGACACCACAUCAACUUGUUUUAUGAUUGAUUUUUAUUAGGAUGUUAUGUCUUUUAUGUUAGGCUAUAGUUAACAUGUUUGACUCAAUAGUACCUCUUUAACCGAAGUCCAUAAACAAUAUAACUGAAGUUCAAUGCACUAUAAUCUGUCACUCACACCUAAACCUCUUAACGUUGUCCUCAACUAUGCACAAACAUACACGACCAUAAUGUCAUUGGAAUUUUAAUGUAAUUCUAAUUUAAAAAAACUUAUGGAUUAUUACAUGUUUUUUAAUAGGUUUUAUUUAAAUAAUAA